rnacentral:rRNA from 1 species
AGAGUUUGAUCAUGGCUCAGAAUCAACGCUGGCGGCGUGCCUCAGACAUGCAAGUCGAACGCGAAAGUUCCCUUCGGGGGACAAGUAGAGUGGCGCACGGGUGAGUAACACGUAGGUAAUCUACCUUUGGAUUGGGAAUAACAACCGGAAACGGUUGCUAAUACCGAAUAAUGCAGCGGCACCUAAUGGUGACAGUUGUUAAAGCGGGGGAUCGCAAGACCUCGCGUCUGAAGAGGAGCCUGCGGCGGAUUAGCUAGUUGGUAAGGUAAUGGCUUACCAAGGCUAUGAUCCGUAGCCGGCCUGAGAGGGCGGUCGGCCACACUGACACUGACAUACGGGUCAGACUCCUACGGGAGGCAGCAGUCGGGAAUUUUGGGCAAUGGGCGAAAGCCUGACCCAGCAACGCCGCGUGAAGGAUGAAAUCCUUCGGGAUGUAAACUUCGCAAGAACGGGAAGAAUAAGUAAGGGUUAAUAUCUCUUACGAUGACGGUACUGUUUGUAAGCUCCGGCUAACUCCGUGCCAGCAGCCGCGGUAAUACGGGGGGAGCAAGCGUUGUUCGGAUUUACUGGGCGUAAAGGGCGCGUAGGCGGCCACCGCAAGUCGACUGUGAAAUCUCCGGGCUUAACCCGGAAAGGUCAGCCGAUACUGCGGGGCUAGAGUGCAGAAGGGGCAACUGGAAUUCUCGGUGUAGCGGUGAAAUGCGUAGAUAUCGAGAGGAACACCUGCGGCGAAGGCGGGUCUCUGGGCCGAUACUGACGCUGAGGAGCGAAAGCGUGGGGAGCGAACAGGAUUAGAUACCCUAGUAGUCC